GAAAGACGUCUCCCCUCACGAAUUCGUGAAAGCCUAUGCGGCUCAUCUCAAGAGAUCCGGGAAGAUUGAACUACCUCCCUGGACUGAUAUAGUUAAAACUGCAAGAUUUAAAGAAUUGGCACCUUAUGAUGCUGAUUGGUAUUAUCUGAGAGCUGCAAGCAUGGCUAGGAAAAUCUAUUUGAGGGGUGGACUCGGUGUGGGGGCUUUUAAGCGGAUUUAUGGCGGAAGCAAAAGGAAUGGGAGUCGCCCUCCACACUUCUGUGAA
rnacentral:misc_RNA from 1 species